rnacentral:misc_RNA from 1 species
UUUCCGUAGGUGAACCUGCGGAAGGAUCAUUAUCGAGUUAGGGUCUCUGGCCCGACCUCCAACCCUGUGUCUACUAUACCAUGUUGCUUUGGCGGGCCCGCGUUCGUCGCCGCCGAGGGGUUGACCCCCCUGGGCCAGUGCCCGCCGAUAGCCCCCUCUUAAACUCUUGAUCAACCGUGAAUGUCUGAGUAAAAAACAAAUCAAUCACAAAACUUUGAACAACGGAUGUCUUGGUUCGAGCAUCCAUGAAGAACUCAGCAGCUAGAAAGAGCACACGGC